AUGGAGAGCACCAAGCACGUGGCCGCCUGGCACUUCAUCAACGACUCGGGCCGCUUGGUCGAGGAGGUGUACGGGGCGGUGUGCGCGGUGGCGGACGAGGCCCGCAGCCACUACGACGAGGACAAGGGGCGGGCUCUCGGCGACGACGACUUCAACCCCAUGAUGUUCUACGACGGCUGCUUCCUGCUGCAGUUCCUGCUGCAUUGGGUGGACGAGGCGGUGGAUCCGCUGCUGAAGGAUGCUUUCAGCUCCAACUGCACCAGCAUCAGCUACGACAUCGCGCUGCUCGAGAACCAGCUCCCAUGGGUGGUGGUCCAAGAGCUGAUGCGCUUCAUGCCGACGCCCCCGGACCUGGUGCGGUUCACCACGGAAUGGAAGGCCACCAUGCAGCCCACCGUACCGCUCGUAGACAAGAACCCUCUUGCAUGGGACGACAGCUACACGCCGCCGCAUCUUCUCGAGCUCCUGCUACAUCGUAGGAAGCACUACCGAGACGCCGGCCGAGCCGGAUGUCGCUCCUCACCGGUGAGCUUUUCCUGGCGCCACUGUCCCUGGACGAUGCAAACGCGAGCUUCCUCGUCAACAUGGCGGUUCUGGAGCUAUGCACGACCCGACUUUUCUGAAGUGGUGGAGGAGAAGUCAGCUGUCUGCUCCUACCUCUGCCUCCUGGGCAUGGUGACGGACAGCGAGGAGGACGUGCAGCAGCUGCGGAAGAAGGGUAUCUUGCUGGGAGGUGCAGGCCUCAGCAACAAGGACGCGCUGGAACUGCUCAACAGGGUGGAGAACCGGCUGCGCUCCGGAACCCACUAUCUGAGGACCAUGGUGCUCAUCGAGAACUACAGGAAGGAGAGGCCGAGGCGGAUCAAGUUUCACAAGUUCCAUUACAACUACCGCAAAGCCAUCAUCUUGACCUUGUCUGGCAUUGCUGGACUUGCCAGCUUCCUCGGGGCGCUCAAUCUAGCCCGGGUUGGUCUCGUUUUUACAUCAAACCAAACAAAUCCCGACUGGAAAGAGAAGCUGCCCUUGGAGAUCCGUGAUGCAUGGGCCGCAGGUGCCGCCGGGGUCAUCUCUUCGUGGUGGUAUUUGAUGCCCUCUCGUGCGGUGCCCCACGCGCACCGGCUGAGCCCGGGUCCACAUUUCAGUGUCCUCCUCCUCUCGUCAAGCAGCUUCACUCCCGCUAGCCGGGCACGACCGGCUGGCUUCGCGCGGCUGGCUCCCUGGCACGCUCCACGCCAUCCGAUCUGUGCGGCCGCGUCGCACCCGACCAAUUUUUCUUGGGGGACCAUGAUGCAUGCGCCGCGGGCACGGCCGAGGCCACCUCUCUAUGGAGAUUUUCAUUGUGCACACGUGCAUCGUCCCGCGCGGUGCAUCACACAUUGGGUGAGGCCGGCUGAGCAUGCACACAUGCCCGACUCGGUAUGUGACAUCGGGGUGGUCGGAGAGGGUGAUCUAGCCAGGGGCCGCGAUCACAGGCCAACUGGCCCGAAGGUCAAUCCGGCCAGGGGUUGCGACGGUAAGCCAACCGGUCAUGAGGGCCAACCGGCCAGGGGUUUCGACGACAAGCCGCCGGGUGUUGUGUUUUUCUAUAAGUUGGACGCCGAUAAGUGGCGAACAUUCGGGUUUACUGGAGUCCGGUCCGAACUAGUUGUUCGGAGCGGGAGCAUCACGUGCCGAACAAAAGUGUUCGGGCAGUCAAUCAUAGGGCCCGAACGCCUGCACAAGCCCCAGUAA
rnacentral:rRNA from 1 species